rnacentral:rRNA from 1 species
AUUGAACGCUGGCGGCAUGCCUUACACAUGCAAGUCGAACGGUAACAGGUCUUCGGAUGCUGACGAGUGGCGAACGGAUGAGUAAUACAUCGGAACGUGCCUAGUAGUGGGGGAUAACUACUCGAAGGAGUGGCUAAUACCGCAUGAGAUCUACGGAUGAAAGCAGGGGAUCGCAAGACCUUGCGCUACUAGAGCGGCCGAUGGCAGAUUAGGUAGUUGGUGGGAUAAAAGCUUACCAAGCCGACGAUCUGUAGCUGGUCUGAGAGGACGAUCAGCCACACUGGGACUGAGAAACGGCCCAGACUCCUACGGGAGGCAGCAGUGGGGAAUUUUGGACAAUGGGCGCAAGCCUGAUCCAGCAAUGCCGCGUGCAGGAUGAAGGCCUUCGGGUUGUAAACUGCUUUUGUACGGAACGAAAAGCCCCGGGUUAAUACCCUGGGGUCAUGACGGUACCGUAAGAAUAAGCACCGGCUAACCACGUGCCAGCAGCCGCCGUAA